UACGUAGGGUGCAAGCGUUGUCCGGAAUUAUUGGGCGUAAAGAGCGUGUAGGCGGCCCGAUUAGUCCGCUGUGAAAGUCCAGGGCUCAACCCUGGAAUGCCGGUGGAUACUGUCAGGCUAGAGUCCGGAAGAGGCGAGUGGAAUUCCUGGUGUAGCGGUGAAAUGCGCAGAUAUCAGGAGGAACACCGAUGGCGAAGGCAGCUCGCUGGGACGGUACUGACGCUGAGACGCGAAAGCGUGGGGAGCGAACAGG
rnacentral:rRNA from 1 species